rnacentral:snoRNA from 1 species
UUGCAUGUGGAAAUGUCUGCCCCUCUUUGGGAACAGGAAUACAUUCGUAAAGUGUUCCAUUAAAAAGGGAGUUCUCAGAACUACCAACCUUAUAGUAGAGGUUGGUGGUAUGUUUCUCCUACACAA